rnacentral:rRNA from 1 species
UACAGAGGGUGCAAGCGUUACUCGGAAUUACUGGGCGUAAAGCGUGCGUAGUCGGUUAUUUAAGUCGGGCGUGAAAGCCCCGGGCUCAACCUGGGAAUUGCGUUCGAUACUGGAUAGCUAGAGUUCGGCAGAGGGAAGCGGAAUUUCUGGUGUAGCGGUGAAAUGCGUAGAUAUCAGAAGGAACAUCAGUGGCGAAAGCGGCUUCCUGGACCAGAACUGACGAUCAGGCACGAAAGCGUGGGGAGCAAACAGG